rnacentral:lncRNA from 1 species
ACAUUAGAUAUAUAAAUUUUGGAUGGAUCAAUUUACAACAAACACUUGUCGGGUAGCAUGCUCCAGAGUACAAGCUGACAAGCACUAAUGCAAUCGCUCUUUGCUUGGUAAAUACUAAAUACUACUUGUAAUCUCAGUUUUUCAACUUUCAAAAACAACCAAGAAACUAAAUGAACACAGAUGCAAAUGAACACAUAAUAUAAAAUGCAUACAAAUAUACAUAUACAUAUACAUAUACAUAUACAUAGCACAUAUGAGGAGAUAGGGACCUGGAGGGUAGGAAAUAUGAAGGCCGCCUCUGGCAAUAGCAGGACGAAGAAAAGAGGAGAAGUUGGGAGAGAGGAAGAGGAUGGAAAUAGCAAGCUCCAUUCUGUGAUCUUUGAGGUUGGCUAUGGAGACGAUGGAGCUGGAUUCUGGAAGCCAUUCAGGAAGAUGAAAACGUAACGACGAAGAUCGGAGAUGCUGGAUCGCCGGAAAAUGGGCUGCAAAUUCAAAUGGGAAAGAAGAAACGGGGACUUCGAGCUAUGGGUAAAUAAGCCAACAAACCUAACCGGAUGAACCGUUCAAACAGCCCGAACCAAACUAAAUUAAAUAGGUUGAUUUUUUUUAGGGUAAAAGACCGUUUACUACCCUCAUGUUUUGUGGUUUUCAACAUUUAGUACAUCAAGUUUUUUUCGUCUCAGAUUCAUACCUAAAGUGUAAAUUUUGGGACAGUCUCAUACAUCCGUUAGUCAAACUGUUAAAUGCCAUUAAUUGUGACGUGGCGCCAUGACUGGGCGCCACCUAUCAUCCACAUUUUUUUUUCUUUUUUUUUUCUUUUCUUCUUUCUUCUUCUUCCUUCUUCUUCUUCUGCAACUUUUUUUUUUCUUCCUCCUUCUCCUUCUUCCUUCCCCUUCUUCUCCUUCUUUCUUCUUCUUCCUUCUCCUUCUCCUUUUUCUUCUUCUUCCUCCAAAUCUGGGGAAGUUUUUUUUCUUUUUCCUCCUUCUUCCUCCUUCUUCUUUCUUCUUCUUCUUCUUCUUCUUCCUCCGACUGCAAUUUUUUUUUUUUUUUUGAGGAAGAAGGAAGAAGGAAGAAGGAGAAGAAGGGGAAGGAAGAAGGAGGAAGGAAGAAGGAGAAGAAGAAGGAGGAAGAAGAAGAAGGAAGAAAAAAAAUUGCCGUCGAAGGAAGAAGAAGAAGAAGAAGGAGGAAGGAGGAGGAAGAAGAAGAAAGAAGAAAGAAGACAAAAAAAAAAAAAACCUUCAUCUUCCCCAGAUUCGAAGGAAGAAGAAGGAAGAAGGAGAAGAAGGGGAAGGAAGAAGGAGGAAGGAAGAAGGAGAAGAAGGAGAAGAAGGAGAAGAAGGAGGAAGAAAAAAAAUUCCUUCAUCUUCCCCAGAUUCGGAGGAAGAAGAAGAAGGAAGAAGAAGGAAGAAGGAGAAGAAGAAGGAAGUAAAAAAAAAGAAAAAAAAGUUGCAGUCGGAGGAAGAAGAAGAAGAAGAAAGAGGAAGAAGGAGGAAGAAGAAGAAGAAAGAAGAAAAAAAAAUAAAAAGAAAAAAAACUUCCCCAGAGUCGGAGGAAGAAGAAGAAGAAUGAGAAGGAGAAGGAAGAAGAAGGAAGAAGGAGAACAAGGGGAAGGAAGAAGGAGAAGGAGGAAGAAAAAAAAAGUUGCAAAAGAAGAAGAAGGUAGAAGGAAGAAGAAGAAAGAAGAAAGAAGAAAAGAAAAGGAAAAAAAAACGUGAAUGACACAUGGCGCCCAAUCAUGGCGCCACGUCACAAUUAACGACAGAUUUAACAGUUUGACUAAUGGAUGUAUGAGACUGUCCCAAAAUUUACACUUUAGGUAUGAAUCUGAGACGAAAAAAAACUUGAUGUACUAAAUAUUGAAAACCACGAAACAUGAGGGUAGUAAACAGUCUUUUACCCUUUUUUUUAUGUACAACAAUAUUUACAUUAUAGGGUUUGAAUUAAAUUGAAGAGAAAUGUCACCAACUAUAUUAGUAGUGACAAAAUCGAUUUUGGAAGAAGUUGUCUAUUUCAGAGGGGAUUUACCAGAUGCCGAAUGUAACUAUGUAAAUUUUCUCCUGUAUUUACUAAUUUGUAAGGAAUUGAAAAAAUAGUUGUUUCUUAAAAUUCAUUAUCAAACACCUAAAAAUCAGGAAGCAUAUCAAGUAUGGGCCAUUUGAUCCUGCUCUCUUUUCUUACUUUUCAUAUUUCUAAGUUAUUUCAUUCCUUGUUACUCAAUACUACGUUCGGUGGUAUUCCUAUUCACUUGAAACUGAGAGGUCUUAGAUUCGAAUUUCGUGGAUGGCGAAUUCGAUACCAAAUUAGGUUGCACAUUGUGUAGUUUAGCCGAACUCCCCCUCAACAUAGUGUAAAAAUAUAUCGAUGUACUCAAAAAGUUAUUUCAUUUCUUUAUUUUCUCAUUUAUGAUAAGUAAACAUUGAUAUAUGGAUCCAAUAUUGCAUAUCGUGUUUAUGAAUGAGCCUUGGUAGGAGUCACAACCUAAUCAUGAGUGAAAUCGUCACAUGUGUAGUGCCAAUGUUUUCAUGCACACGCUCACCAAAGGGUCUGUUUCGUUUUCCUACCUCUCGGUUGGUCCAACUAGGUCCGAAAGUACUCCAAAGGUAAAGUAAGGCCCAAGGAAUACAUCGUGUUCACAACAUCAUAACAAUAAUAAGGAAAUACAAUGGAGAGGCUUAGGUGAGAGCCUUAUGGCGCAAUAAACUUCAAUUUAGGUCAUGAGGAGUAGAGGCAAAGUUGACCAACUUCUUACAUAGAGUUUUAGGGGAUGAAAGGGAUCAAAAUCGAAUUCCAGGGGGCAAAAUAGAACAAACUAUGAAUCUAAGGGAGUGAAGUGACGAUUUUUUAUUUACAAUGAGCAAAGUAAGAUUAAAAUCGAGGGUGUAGCUAAAAAUAAGCACAUUUGUUUACUUUCUUGGUUUGAUCAUGUAAUUUAAAUAUUAUUUUCCCAAUAAAUUUUGGAAGGCAAACAAACUCAUCAAGAGGUAAUAUUGCAGAAGUGCUAAUUCACUUGGAAGAAUGGAACAGGAACAUAUAGGAUAAAAUAGGUGGGAACCGCACGAAUCGGAUUUUUUGAGGAACAUAUCGAGCAAGAAUUGGUUAGACAAUGUGUGGUUGUUAAACAAGGAUCAUCAUUAUGCAUUGUGUUAGUGAAUCGUGCUAAGAACAAGUCAAUCCUAUUUAGGUUCUAUACAAAGAAGGGUACAUGAAUUAUGCUCUUGAUGAUUCAAUAUGUCAUCAAAUGGUUUGGAUUACAAUUGUUCCUAAAGAAAUUUGGCUUCCACCAUAAAACCAAUUAGCUAUAUGGAGAGUAGUCUAACUACUUAUAAGUUCAUGCAAGGUUCUUCCUCCCAUCAACAUAUGACUCAUUGUCAACACGCCUCUUCACGUAUGGCGAAUUUUCAAGUCUAACACGUGGACAAUACAACGGAGUGUCAUUGAGCAAGUGUGGCAGUGCGUAUGACCGUUUGACUUCACACGUGGGACAACCUACUUUAAUACCAUAAAGAAUUUGAGGUUCCACCAUAAAACCAAUUGACUAUAUACCAAGUAGCGCAGCUACUUAUAAGCUCAUGGAAAGUUCUUUCUCCCUUCAAUGUAGGACUUAUUCUCAACAUACUACGUAGGCUACAUAUUUCAUACCAAAAUCUAAAACCGUCAAGAGUUUGUGGAGGAAAGUGCAAGCUACACUUCCGUUGUUAGAUUCCUCACAAAAAUUAGUUGUUGUUAGAUUCCUCACAAAAAUUAGUUGGGGUUAAUUUUGGGCUUGAGCAACUAAGUUCUCUAUUAGCUCAUGAUGUCAAUGAUGUACGUUUUAUAGGGAUAACGGGGAUGGGUGGCAUAGGUAAGACAACCCUUGCUAAGCUUGUUUGUGAUAGAAUCUUUCAUCAUUUUGAAGUUCACUGCUUUCUCGGCAACGUUAGAGAGGUUUCUAACGUUGAUCUUCAAAAAAGACUUCUUUUCCCGGUGUUGAGGGAAAAGAUUGAAGAAAUUUGGGACGAAGAGCGUAGAAUUAUUUUCACUAAGAAGUUCUUACGCAACAAAAAGGUUCUUCGUGUACUUGAUGAUGUGGAUCACAUAAACCAGCUACAAGUACUAGCUGGAAAGGAAGAUUGGUUUGGCAUGGGAAGUCGAAUUAUCAUUACAACUAGAAAUGAACGUCUGCUAGUCCAGCAUGACGUAACAUUAUGUCAUCAUGUCAAAAUGUUGGAUAAAGGCGCAGCUCUUGAACUGUUUAGCCUACAUGCCUUUAAGAAAAAUAUGCCUGAGGAUGGGUUUUGGGAACUGUCAACGUAUUUCAUUAAUUAUGCUGGAGGCCUUCCAUUAGCUCUUGAAACUUUGGGGUCGGCAUUGUUUAAGAGAAGGCUAGACACUUGGAAUAGUGUGUGGGAUAAUCUGUCAAAAAUUCCUAAUCCAACAAUUUUUGAUAAACUUAAAAUAAGUUAUGAUGGACUAGAAGAGUGGGAGAAGAGAAUUUUUCUCGAUGUUGCAUGUUUUCACAAAGGGAAGUACACAAAGCGAGUAAUUGAAAUGCUAGAUGAUUCUUUUGGAAUAUCUAGUAGUAUUAUGAUAGAUGUACUAAUUGAGAGAUCUCUCAUCUAUCAAGAUCAUAGAAAAUGCAUAUGGAUGCAUGAUUUGAUUCCAGAAAUGGCAUGGAUAGUUAUUGCUCACGAGUCUAAAGAGCCUAGUCAACGCAGUAGUUUAUGGCUUUACAAUGAUAUUUAUCAUGUAUUCAGAACGAAUACGGUAAGAAGUUAAAUAUCAAGUUUGCAAGAAUAUAUGAUUUCUUUUGACAUUAUAUUAUUAUAUAAAUUAAUUCGUCCUUUUUUCCUUCAUUGUUAGGGAACAAGAACAUUUGAAGCCAUAUCCUUACGCCAGCUCAAAGUAGAAGAGGUACGCCAGUGGAAUUGCGAAGCCUUCUCUAAGAUGGAUGGACUGAGGUUUUUGGAGUUCGAUAACUUGAUCUUUUCUUCAGGCCCCAAAUUUCUUCCAUGUUCCUUGAGAAUUAUAAAUUGGAGUUGGUAUCCUUCUAAUUUUCUUCCAACCAGCUUUUGCCCGCACUUGCUUGCUCAACUUAAGAUGCGUAAUACCAAUCUUGUUCGUGUUUGGGAGGGAAAAGUGGUAAGAGCAGUUAUGAACAAAGGAUAAUAUUGGUUACUCACUAGUCAAUACUCACUUUUUGAUUUUUUCCAAUGAUAUUUUAACACAUAUUAUUUAAAAAUAACAAUAGACAGGUUAUUUAAUUUUUCUUGAGUUUUAAAAACAAGGAACGCAUGACAUUUUUUUAUUGUACAAUCCCAAAUGUCCCAACUUUCUUCCAUAUUCAUUGAGAAUAAAUGCUAUUCAAUUUACAAAAUAAUCAUAUAUUUAUUUAUUUAUUUAUUUAUUUAUUAUUUUGAAUAAACUUUAAGGUUGUGGAAGCUUAGUAAAUGAUCUGAACCUUAUCGGUGGUGUUGUACAUGACUUACCCAACUUGAAAUAUAUCGAUCUUAGCUACUCCAAUAAAUGGAAGAGUACCCCAGGAUUUUAAUGGUAUUCCAAAUCUUGAGGAGUUAAUUCUUGGGAAUUGUAAGAAUUUAGUUGAGACUCACCCGUCUAUUGCAGUCCUCAAAAGACUUAAGGAUUUGAACCUUCGUAACUGUGAAAGCAUUAAUACCCUCCCAAGUAAGGUUGAAAUGGAUUAUCUUGAAUAUUUCUGUCUUUAUGGCUGCUCAAAUGUGAAAAAUAUUCCAGAAUUUGGGGAGCAGAUGAAGAAUGUGUCCUGGAUUUCCUUAAGUGGGACUGCGAUCGAGAAAAUACCUUCAUCAAUUGGACAUUUGGUUGGCCUCAGGGAAUUGCAUGUAAGGAAUUGCAAAAAUCUCUUGAACCUUCCAAGGGCAAUUUGUAAUUUGAAGUCUCUUGAAGGGCUCUAUGUGAAUCAAUGCUCAAAGAUUGACAAACUCACUGGAGACAUGGAUCGCUUAGAGGCGCUUCGUUGGGGACCCACUAUGACACAGCCGCUUGUGAGUAUGAAAAAUCUCAAAAGUCUAGUAUUUAAGACAAAUUCUGACAUAGCCACUUGUGGAUCGGAUGGUAAAGCAAGGGAUGGGUGGGGCCUUCGCCGCUUAUUUGGACUUCAAAAGAGUCACCCUGAUCCUCCUCCUUGUUGGGGUUUGGUGUUGUCUUCUCUAAAUCGUUUAUGCAACUUGAGGAGGUUAGAGCUAAAGAAUUGUAAUCUCCGGGAGGGGGAUAUCCCCGAUGAUAUUGGCUGCUUGUCCUUUUUGAGAGAAUUGUAUCUUAGGAGAAAUAAUUUUGUCAGGUCCAUCCAAUUUUUAUGGUGGUUCUGUCACUUGCCAGAAUUGCAUUGCAUUGGUUCAAGAUGAAGACUUGAGUAAUAGGAUUCUAAAAUCUGUCAUUCAGGUACUCUCUCUCUCUCUCUCUCUCUCUCUCUCUCUCUCUCUCUCUCUCUCUCUCUCUCUCUCUCUCUCUCUCUCUCUAAAUAAUUGAUCUUUCUUCUGCUACAGGGAUUGGAAAUUGUAAUCCCUGGAAGUGAAAUUCCAAAGUGGUUCAAUAAUCAGAGUGUGAGACAUUCAAUAAAUGUGGAGCUUCCUCCACUAUCAUGUACCAACUGGCUUGGGAUUGCCUUAUGUGCUGUUUCUCUAGACCCAAACCCUAUACAAAAUGUGGAGCUUCCUUAUUGCUUUAGUUUUAGAAUUCACCGUUCAGGGAAACUUGUUAGCCCUGAAAUACUUGGCCCAGAAUACAAUUGGAAUACCUUACCGUCUCUUGUGUCAGAAAACCUUUCGGUAUUUUAUAUUCCUCGUCAAUAUUGUUUGCCUCGUGAAGAUUGUCAUUAGGAACAGUUUUUAUUUGGAGUUAUCUUUGGUAAUGUGUAUGGGAGAGACCUAAAAGCAGGCUUGGAUAAGGUGAAGAAGUGUGGGGCUCGUUUGGUGUACAAGCAAGAUUUGAAAGAACUCAAUCAAAAACAUGGGGCUCGUUUGGUGUACGAGCAAGAUUUGAAAGAACUCAAUAAAAAACUACUGAAACGAACACAUGAAAUUCGUGACGAGGUAGCUCCAAGUGGACCUGGAAGUGCUAGCUUCAACCACACAGAACAUAUUCGCAAAAGGCGUUGUAACUAGUCACCAUGUCACAAAAAAUGCAUGUAAGUAACCAUCGAUUAAUCACAUCAGCUUAAUUGUAAUCAAAAUUAUUUUUUGUUUCGACGACAUCCUAGUCAAUGUAAUCAAUCUCUCGAUCUAUAUAUUAAGAUGGCUAUAUUUAAUGAAAGGUGAGUGAAUAAGAAUGUUGAUGCAUAAAGACUUUUGCAGAUUACUUGGGCAUUAAGAAGAUUGAUUAACAAUCUGAUCAUCUUGCCUAAUGCAGUAAGUGGGUACCUUGUAAACUCACGACGCCAUGGGGGCUGGUCUGUCGGUCCUGAUCUUAAGGUUCAUUUUCUGAAGACGCCAUUAGCGUUAACAUGUACACCAGGGGUUGAAUUCAAACUUCUGUACUCUGGCAGAAAUUGAUUUGUUUCUGUCUGAUUUUGUAACUAAUGCAAACUUGUAGUCCAGAAACAGAAACGUUGCGAAGGAAACAACACUUUUUGCUCAACAACUUUGGUUUGAUUAAAACUUGGCUUUGGUGAUGCAAAAAAUAAGCAUUGAGAGUAUUUUUCCUGAGAUCAUUGGAAAGGUUGUCGUAAAACUUAGAACAGCAAAUCAUACUAAUUUUUUUAAAACCCUUUUUACACGGUAGUUUUGAAGUUUAAACUUUAAAACAGCAAAUCAUACUUUUUUUUUAUUUUUUUUAUUUGUCAAAAGCAAAUCAUACUAAUUAACUCAGCUAAGAAAUAUUCAAAUAAUCCCCGGGCAAGCUGAGAGUAUGAUUGGAAAUUAGAAGUCUGACUUGGUCUAACAUCCCCGGGCAAGCUGACAGAUUGUAGCCCAACUGGAAGCUUGGACACCAGCAGUUUAAAUCGAGAUGAAGAUAACCCUUCGUGAAUAAAUCAGCAAUUUGAUCUUGUGAACAAAUAAAAUUCACCAGUAGCUCACCUCUAAUCACCUUCUCCCUGAAAUAAUGAUAAUCAACUUCUAAGUGCUUGGUUCUUGAGUGGAAAACUGGAUUGGAUGCUAAGGCAAUGGAAGACAAAUUAUCACACCAAAUCUGUUACCUUAGAAGAUUCUAAUGUACAUCCCUAAACAACGAACAUAACCAGGGCAACUCAGCGGCGGUGUAUGCAAGCUGCCUAUAUUCAGCUUCAGUGCUAGACCUGAAAACUGUUUUCUGUUUCUUCGAACUCCACGAUAUUAAGUUUUCACCCAAGUAUACACAGAAGCCUCCAGUUGAGGCGUGUCUAGGUUCUCUACAUAAUCACAAUCAAAGCGAAAAAAAUUCACAAAUGACUAGCAAAUAGAGGAAAACUUCCAGGAGUAGUCUGAAAAUAGUUUUCUUCUUUUCCGUAAACAAGUCCGAACAUACUUUUAUUUGCAAAGCAGAUCUGUCAAAACUGGAACAAUAGAUGAAAAUAAGGGCAAUGAGGGAAAACAUUCAACACAGGAAAAGACCAAAAUCUAGAAUGAAGUAAUUUAAAAUUGCCAUAAAUUACAAAGAAAAGUAGGGUAUAACACUAAAGAGCUACAUUAGAUAUGUUAUAUAAAUUUUGGAUGGAUCAGGCAUUCUCUGUAUCCUUGAAUACUUCUCAGGUGUUCUGCUGUUUGCUUUUAUAUUGCCAUUUCACAAUAUGGAAAGCAAGGAAUUAAAUCACGUGUGCUGUUGUCAAAAAUUAAGGCAAGGCAAACUAUGGAUUGACAAUUCGUGAUUUUAUAUUACCAUUCACAAUAUGAACAGCCAGUACCAUGCAAAGUUCCGUCCCCACCCCCCUAAGGUCCAUUGGACCUAUGGCUACAGCAAGGGCGUAACCGUAUCCCCAUAUACAUGAUAACUUGGCUAAAGAAUAUCGUUUUAUAUUUAAAGGUUGCAAACACUUGCUCUAACUGAUGCCUGACCUCAUUAGCAGUAGGCCAUUUGUUAUCACUAAUCUCCAAGGUCAAUUCAAAACAGCCACCAUUUUUGUAGUUCCAAUCUUGCAUGCCUCCAUAUAUAGGGUACCUACAACAGGUGUCUUAAGAAACAAUAGAUGAAUAUCAAACAGAAGGAAAAUAUACCUAUAAUAAGUUGUAAUGUUUCAAGCCAUCAUACCAGAAAGCUCGAUUCGUAAUCCCUCCCUCAAAUUCCUUGCGCAAUGACAUAUUGUAGCGAGAGCGACUAUAUACACUUGCUAAGAACCGGAAUGUCUCGUCGUCUGGACAUGCAAAAUAAUCUUUCCUGUAAUUUAAUUUAGAUCAAAAGACAAGAGCAUAUGUGCAAAAUAAAAAUUAAUAAGCGUUUAAAAAUUAAUAAGCGUUUAAAAAUUAAUAAGCGUUAGCAUAAAUUCUGGGAUAGUGUUAUUUAGAACUUACACAUAUUGUUAGGCACCAUCCGAAAAUCCAUAAUCAUAUUAGAAGUAAUCGGCAAUGUUCAUAACAUUACAGUAACACUUUAAGACCUACUAUUGACAUCACCAUGCUUGUUUCACACUAUAAAAGAAACAUUUAAAAACGUGAACACAUUGGGCAUCAUAGGUAAAAUUAAAUAAUGAUCAAAACCUACACUCUCACUGAGGCCAACGUACAAAAGAAACAUUCAACUCUCUUGCAAAAUUCUCUGAAAGAAACAUUGGGCAUCAUAGGUAUAAAUGAAACAUUCAACUCUCUUGCAAAAUUCUCUAAAUUCUCCAAGCACUUUUCCCUCAAAAUUCUAACUUUGGCAUCAGAGGCUCUUCCGCUAAAGCCCCCCCCCCCAACUUCAUCGUGAACGCAUAAGGCUAUUGGCCUUGACCUAAGAUGUUAUUUGUUUUGUAGGUGCAAUUUUGUCCAAGAACAAGGAGGAAGAAAUUUGCAUCCACAAAUUGGUGCUUUAAUUGAGAGUUGAGUCACACACUCCUAGAAGACUCUCACAUCUAAGGUUUUUCGUUUUCUUGUUCAUUUAUAGAUUUUUCAUACAUUCUUAUUCUUAGAAUUUUUAUUUCUAAAGAUUCUUUAGUAAAACGUAAAAGAAAGGUACAAUGGCAAGGGACUCGAAAACCUCGAAGAACGAAACUUUCUAUGUUCAAAGAUCCGGAUCGAAUGACGGAGGAUGAGAUGUAAACCCACCACAACGAUCCACAAGGCACCCAGCAUAUUUAUCAAAAAAUGCUCAAACUAUCACUUGAAAUUGCAUGAACGAGUAACAAUCGAUUUACAUUCUGGGGAAUGGAAAAGGAAGAAAAGAAAGUUUUCAAGUAGCACACAGAAUACAAAAAUACUACACUGUCAGUGUAUGCACACACUCAAUAAAUUGAAAUCCGGGUAGUAUGCAAAACUUUUUCGACAAAAAGUGAAAUUCAUGACUUCAGUUUUCGACAGUAAACGCGAAAUAUGGCAGGUGGAAAAUGAAAGACUAACAAUAAAACAAAAUAUUAAUAAUAUAUUAUUAGUUGCAGUGGAAUUUAGAAACAAUGAACAUUUUAAGGAAGAAGAUGAGGGAAAUGUAAAUAUCCAAUUGCACGAGAUUUUUCGGCAUGUACUUAUACAUUAUAAUAACUCCGCAUGUGUAAGUUUAUCUUACAUUGCCGGUCCCAAGCCCGGGUAAAGGAGGAGCGGGAGGGCGUCAGGUAGUCGACAGCCGGCACUCCACAGUUAUGUCGAAUCCUUAUGAAAAUGAAUCUAGAACGAAAUCGCGCUAAAGCUAGGGCGUCACCCGUAAGUGGCGCGCUGUGUGACCCGAGCACAGUGAUAAGUGAGCAAGGGUCGCUGUAUCUCUAUCGGCACCCGGAUGCAGUGUUAAAUGAGCAAGGGGGCCAUAGAAACUUCUUUUCGACUCCACUCAAAGUUGUUUGGGAGCAUAUGCUCCUAUCAACUUUACACAGGAUACACAAAAGAAGUACUUUGAUUCUAUUGGACGGGGGAGGGUGAAGAAGCUAGGACAGAAGGGUAGAGUUCAAGAGAGUAGAAUGCGUUUAGGAACGUGGAAUAUAGGAACCUUAACGGGAAAAUCUAUGGAAGUAGUGGAAGUUAUGGUGAGGAGAAGGAUAAAUAUUAUGUGCCUACAAGAAACUAAGUGGGUUGGUCUUAAGGCAAAGGAUCUAGAAAACUCAGGGUUUAAACUUUGGUAUUCGGGCACAAAUAGAACGAGAAACGAUGUUGGCAUCAUCGUGGACAAGACCUUGACACAAGAUGUUGUAGAUGUCAAGAGGGUAGGAGAUAGAAUCAUGGCAAUCAAGAUUGUAAUAGGACAAGAACUCGUCAAUGUGAUUAGUGCGUACGCACCUCAAGUAGGGUUGGAUACGAGUUCGAAGGAGAAAUUUUGGAAAGACCUUGGAGACUUGGUGCAAGGAAUUGCCCGGACGGAGAAGUUAUUUAUAGGAGGAGAUUUAAAUGGACACGUGGGCAGGGAGACAGGCAACUAUGGAGGUUUUCAUGGUGGCCAUGGUUUUGGGGAGAGAAACGAGGAUAGGGAAGCUAUCUUGGAUUUUGCAAUGGCAUAUGAUCUCUUCUUAACCAACACCUUCUUUAAGAAGAGAGAAGAACAUGUGAUCACCUACAAGAGUGGGUCGUCAAAAACACAAAUAGAUUUUCUUCUAAUGAGGAAAGGGGAUCGUAUAACUUGUAAGGAUUGCAAAGUUAUACCGGGAGAGAGCUUGGCUAAUCAACAUCGCUUGUUGUUGAUGGAUGUACAUAUCAAAAAAGUGAGAAAAAAAGAACAAGACUUGGAAGUGCCCAAGGACUAGAUGGUGGAAUCUAAAAGGAGAAAAACAAGCCAUUUUCAAAGAGAAAAUAAUCACCCAGUGUGGGUGGGAUAGAGAGGGGGAAGCUAGCCAAAGGUGGGAUUCCAUGGCUAGUUGUAUCCGAAAAGUAGCAAAAGAGGUAUUAGGAGAGUCCAAGGGCUUUACUCCACACCAAAAGGAAUCUUGGUGGUGGAAUGAGGAGGUACAAACAAAGGUGAAGGCUAAGAAGGAAUGUUGUAAAGCCUUAUACAAGGACAUGACCGAUGAAAAUGGUGAAAGGUAUAGAAGAGCGAAGCAAGAGGCAAAGAAAGCUGUGAGAUAAGCUAAGUUAGCGGCUUAUGACGAUAUGUAUAAGCGACUAGAUACCAAAGAAGGAGAGUUGGAUAUCUAUAAACUAGCUAGAGUAAGGGAAAAGAAGACAAAGGACCUAAACCAAGUGAGGUGCAUCAAGGAUGAGGAUGGAAAGGUUCUUGCUACAGAGAACGCAGUCAAAGACAGAUGGAGAGGUUAUUUUCAUAAUCAUUUCAAUAAAGGACAUGAAAGGAGUACUUCUUUAGGGGAGUUGAGUAACUCAGAAGAGUGUAGAAACUACUCCUUUUAUCGUCGAAUCAGGAAGGAAAAAGUGGUUGUAGCUUUGAAGAAGAUGAAGCAUAGAAAAGCAGUGGGCCCAGACGAUAUACCGAUCGAAGUGUGGAAAGUCUUGGGAGAGACAGGUAUAGCAUGGCUCACUGACCUUUUCAAUAGGAUUUUGAAAACGAAGAAGAUACCAAAUGAGUGGCGAAAGAGCACUUUGGUGCCUAUCUACAAGAACAAGGGCGACGUACAAAAUUGCAUGAACUAUAGGGGUAUUAAGCUAAUGAGUCAUACAAUGAAGCUCUGGGAGAGAGUCAUUGAGCAUAGAUUGAGGCAAGAGACACGGGUUUCGAACAACCAAUUCGGGUUCAUGCCAGGGCGCUCAACAUGGAGGCAAUCUAUCUCUUACGAAGAUUGAUGGAAAGAUAUAGAGAUGGGAAAAAUGAUUUACACAUGGUCUUUAUAGAUUUGGAAAAAGCAUAUGAUAGGGUCCCAAGAGACAUUCUUUGGAGGAUUUUAAAGAAGAAAUGAGUACGAGUGGCAUAUAUCCAAGCUAUAAAGGGUAUGUAUGAAGGAGUAAAGACUGCCGUAAGAACUUAUGAAGGACAAACCGAAAGCUUCCUCAUAACUGUAGGAUUACAUCAAGGCUCAUCCUUAAGUCCUUACCUUUUUGCGUUGGUAAUGGAUGAGUUAACAGGACAUAUUCAAGAUGAUAUUCCUUGGUGUAUGCUUUUCGCAGACGAUAUAGUGUUGAUAGAUGAAACUCAGGAAGGGGUAAAUGCAAAGCUUAACCUUUGGAGAGAAGUGUUGGAAUCUAAAGGUCUUCGCCUAAGCCGAUCAAAGACAGAAUAUAUGGAGUGCAAGUUCAGUGCAAAUGGAGGCCAAAAUGAGUUAGGGGUGAGGAUUGGCGAUCAGGAAAUACCAAAGAGCGAUCGUUUUCACUACUUAGGAUCUAUCUUGCAAAAGAACAGAGAAUUAGAUGAAGAUCUUAACCAUAGAAUACAAGCUGGAUGGAUGAAGUGGAAGAGUGCAUCCGGCGUGUUGUGUGACCGUCAUAUGCCACUGAAGCUCAAGGGAAAAUUUUAUAGGACGGCAAUAAGGUCGGCGAUGCUGUAUGGCACAGAAUGUUAGGCAGUGAAGCAUCAACACGUACACAAAAUGGGUGUAGCGGAGAUGAGGAUGCUUCGUUGGAUGUGUGGGAACACGAGAAAGGAUAAGAUUAGGAAUGAGGAUAUCCGAGGUAAAGUAGGAGUAGCCGAAAUUGUAGGAAAGUUUAGAGAAAAUCAGUUACGGUGGUUUGGACAUGUGCAAAGAAUGCCUACUGACACUCUGGUUAGAAGAUGCGACUACGGGACAGAGGUCCAGGGCCGAAGGAGUAGAGGAAGACCUAGGAAAAUUUUGGAAGAGACUCUAAGAAAAGACUUAGAGUAUUUGGAUUUAACGGAGGACAUGACACAGGACCGAGCACAAUGGCGUUCUAAGAUUCAUAUAGCCGAUCCCACUCAGUGAAGAAGGCUUUGGUGUAUUUAACACAAUACGUUGGAAAUGAAGCAAAGCUUAUUUAUUGAUAUCUCUGAUAAGUUACAAAUAUGUACAUAUACAUGAGUCAAAAUAAACAAACAAGAGGGAGCUUUCACAAAGGUUACUUAGGAGAAGUCUUAGCAAUCGGUAGAGCCCCAGAAAGAGAAGGCACCGAGGGGGAUCAUUCGGAGCCUUAGUACUGGACAGAACCCUAGAAGGAGGAGACAUCAGAGGUUGAUCAUUUAGAGCUUCAUUAUGCGGUACAGCCCCAGAAGACGAAGGCAAUAAAUGCCUUUGGAACAAACCCACAAACCGCUGAUGAUCAAGUAAAACCUGACCAUCAGAUUCCUUCAUCUGGUCAAGCUUCCUAUUCAUGUUUGUAGCAUAGUUAUGUGCGAGCCGAUGCAACUGUUUAUUCUCAUGCUUGAGCCCUCUAAUCUCCUAUUUGAGACUCAUCACUUCAGCCGCCAAUGAUUCAACUUGGCGGGUUCGAGCAAAUAGGCGUUGGGCCAUAUUAGACACAGAACCUGCACACUGAACACUCAGAGCCAAAGAAUCCUUCACAGCCAAUUCAUCAGAUCGUUUGGAAAGUAGUCUGUUAUCUUUGGGAGUGAGAAGGUUCCUGGCCACCACCGCAGCGGUCAUAUCAUUCUUCAUCAUGGAAUGCCCAACGGUAAAAGGACCAGUAGGGGAUAAGAAGGAUGGGCGCCAUAUGUUGUCUGGAGAAGGCGUGGCUGCCUCUUCAACAAGGUUCAAGUCAAAACGACGGUCGGAGGGGCCAGACAUUUUCAAAGGUGUUGAAGAGAGAAGAGGUUGAACAAAUCAAGAUCUUAGAAGUGCAAUAAGUGAGCUUCUACUGGUGAAGAUUCAAGUGUGCUUUGAAACUUAAUGUCAGCCUCUAUAAAAAUCUGCACUCGACGGAGCUUCAGAAAUCGAAGAGGCGUCUGCCCAGAAAUCAAAGAGGCGUCUGCCCAGAAAUCAAAGAGGCGUUUGCUUUCUCAAAAGCUGGGCUGCUCAGAGACCAUGAGGGUCGAUCUCAGAAAUCGAAGAGGCGUUUGCUUUCUCAAAAGCUGGGCUGCUCAAAGACCACGAAGGUCGAUCUCAGAAAUCGAAGAGGCGUUUGCUUUCUCAAAAGCUGGGCUGCUCAAAGACCACGAAGGCCGAUCUCAGAAAUCGAAGAAGCGCUUGCUUUCUCAAAAGCUGGGCUUCUCAGAGACCACGAGGGCCGAUCUCAGAAAUCGAAGAGGCACCUGCUUUUUUCAGCCUUGUCAGCACCUGUCACAUGCACACUCAGCUUUGCUGAAUUACGGGCAUUCUGUUGAAGAUUUCUGGUGAAGUGAAAAGCAAGUGAAUCUUACUGUUCAAUCAUCCACUUUUCACACGCACCAUCAGCUCAUGGGUACCACAGAUAACUUUGCCAAAGAUCUCUGACAAAGUUUAUACACGUGAAGCUUGCAGCUCCCACUACAUCGCUAUGACCAAGAAGGGUAAAAGAAUAGCAAAGAAACAACACUAACAAAGUUUAGACACAUAAAUUUUGAAGGUCUAGCUAUCAUAUUAUUACCCACAAGGGUAAAGGAACAGCACCACUGCUGGAUAAUUGGAAAGUCCUUGUGUGUCAACCUCUGUGCUCCGUGGCAAGGUAGAAUAGCAAACAUGCCCUACCUUUACUCACAUUCGAGAAAACACUCCCAACAAGAUUGCUUGCUCCAAAAUCGAAGAGGCACCGUCCUCCGACUCUCGAGAGCCAGACUCUCAACAUGAUUACUUUCUCAAAAAUCGAAGAGACACCACUCUCCGAAUCUCGAGAGCCAGACUCCCAGCAUGAUUGCUCUCUCAAAAAUCGAAGAGGCAUCGUUCUCCGAAUCUCGAGAGCCAGAUCCCCGACAGGAUUGCUUGUUCGAAAACCGAAGAGGCACCGCUUUCUCAACUUCGAGAGCCAGAUCUCCUUGGAUAAAGCUUGUCUGUAAUCUUCACGCAACAUCAGCUUUUCAGAUACCACAGACCACUUUUUCAAAGUGCUCUGACACACGUGAAGCUGGCAGCUCCCACUACCGUGCUAUGACUAAGCAGGGUAAAGGAAUAGCAUUACUACUUGUUGUUAGGGAGACUCCUAUAUAUGUCGACCUUCAUCCUCAACGGACAGGCAAACCUGCAAAAAUGCUCGACCCUUCCUCAUAUCUGAGAGGGCACUCCCGACGAAGCCUCUCAAAAUACUCAGCUUUCUUUCCCCCCGAUAAUACCUCUGCAACAAGCUACACCAGAGCAAGAAUAUCUAAUAUCAUCAGGGUUAAAAGCAAGAGUAUCCCAUAUCAUGCUUUUUUCCUUGUCUUUUCCUUUGGCCUUGUUCUUACCUGCAAGACAAGGAGAAAGAGAGCAAUCAGUCAGCAUUUGGAAUCAAGCUUCCAGUCAGGAACUGACUGCCUGGAACCCCUUACCUGAUUACUUACCUGGCAUUGCUCUCGAGUACUCAUCUUCAACAUCUUAUGCUUCCAGAGAAGACACCACAUCUGCCUAAGAAACCGAUAGGGAAAGUGAAAAGGAUACAAGGAAACAUGUGGAGACAAGCGUAACAGAACACGUGCCGAUACAUCCACUACUUUGUCAACAGCAAAAGUAUCCCAUAUCAGCACGGUCGAACGUACUCUAGAUUUGAUGGACUUGUUUUUGACCCUCAAAUUCUUCAGUCGGCCUUAUACUUUGGAGGAAACCAGAAAACCCUCCAGCCCAGUUCAAGAAUAAGCCUAUGGAAAGUUACUUCUUCAAAAGCAAAAGUAACUCAUAUCAUCUAUUCUCCUUUUCUUCUCUUUAUCCGCUGCCUGCAAGAUAGGGAGAAUGAGAACAAUCAGCCGGAACUCGAAAUCAAACUUCUGAUCUGGGACUAAUUGCUUGGAGCUCUGAUUGCUUACCUUGUUUAUCACCUCUUUCAGCAGAUCCCCUUGCUCGGCGACUUGGGGGACUCCUACUACAUGGUUUGUAUCGCGCUUGACCAAGCCUGAAACUACAAGUAAGCUUCAAGUGAAAUUGAUACAUUACCUUGUGCAUCUCCACCAGUUAAAGAUACCACCCCUGGAUGGAGGAAGAGUACUUAGAAGUUUCGUGAUUACGAGAUCAUUCUCCCACAAUAUUUCCUAAUGUCACUUGUACUCAAUCAUUCAUUUGUACUCACUAAAGGAGAGCUUGAACCUAUGUACUUGUGUAAACCCUUCACAAUUAAUGAGAACUCAUUUACUCCGUGGACGUAGCCAAUCUGGGUGAACCACGUACAUCUUAUGUUUGCUUUCCUGUCUCUAUCCAUUUACAUACUUAUCCACACUAAUGACCAGAGCAGCAAUAACUUAAUACUUUCUGUUGUACCAAAGUCCUCACUGAUUUUGUGUGCAUCAACAAUCCUUAAGUCCUUAACCUUUUGCGUUGGUAAUGGAUGAGUUAACAGGACAUAUUCAAGAUGAUAUUUCUUGGUGUAUGCUUCUCGCAAAUGAUAUAGUGUUGAUAGAUGAAACUCAGGAGGGGUAAAUGCGAAGCUUAACCUUUGGAGAGAAGUGUUGGAAUCUAAAGGUCUUCGCCUAAGCCGAUCAAAGACAGAAUAUAUGGAGUGCAAGUUCAGUGCAAAUGGAGGCCAAAAUGAGUUUAGAGGCGAGGAUCGGAGAGAUCAGGUAAUACCAAAGAGCGACCGUUUUCGCUACCUAGGAUCUAUCUUGCAAAAGAACGGAGAAUUAGAUGAAGAUCUCAACCAUAGAAUACAAGCUGGAUGGAUGAAGUGGAAUAGUGCAUCCGGCAUGUUGUGUGACCAUCGUAGGCCACUGAAGCUUAAGAGAAAAUUUUAUAGAACGGCAAUAAGGCCGGCGAUGCUGUAUGGCACAGAAUGUUGGGCGGUGAAGCAUCAACACGUACACAAAAUGGGUUGGACAUGUGCAAAGAAGGCCUACUGACGCUCCGGUUCGAAGAUGUGACUACGGGAUAGAGGUUCAGGGCCGAAGGGGUAGAGGAAGACCUAGGAAAACUUUGGAAGAGACCCUAAGAAAAGACUUAGAGUACUUGGAUCUAACGGAGGACAUGACACAAAACCGAGCGCAAUGGCAUUCUAGGAUUCAUAUAGCCGACCCCACUUAGUGAGAAAAGGCUUUGUUGUUGUUGUUGUUGUUGUACUUAUACAUUAUAAUCUUUGUCAUGUUACAGCUUCUCAGUUUCAUUAUAAGUUUCUUGUGGUCUCGUAGCAGUUUCCUUUAUUCUUUCCAUACAAGAUCAGAGAAAAAGUAACAAAAAAUUGUGACUAAAAACUGCCCUCAAAACACAUACAAUUGAUAGAGUCUGUCCUUUCUCAGGGACAAGUAACAUAAUUGAACUAGCGGAAUGAAUAAAACUUUUCUAAAGAGUGCAGAUGGAUAUUCUCCAACACCAGAAUCAACUCAAUUCGGUGGUAAACAGGUAUUGCACCCUUCUGGAUUCAAAGGUGCAAUAAGCUAGAAGCUACAUCGCACUUUUUUAACUUCCACUAAUAAGAAAUCAAUGUAAUUAAGUUUCUGACCCUUAUUCAGCGUUAUUGUUGCAAAAAGAUUUUCUGGUACUGGUGCCUGAAUCCUUAUUACACAGCUCUAUGGUUAAUUUCAGUUUCAAGCAGCUGCAAGGACUAAUUUGUGCUAAUCUUGAAGGAAUCAAAGCAUGUUCCUGUUCUUUUGAAUCAUAACUUUUUCUGGGUUAUGGAACAAAUAUAAUUUCCACGUUAUUAUUUUUUUCAAAAAAAAAAAUUCUACGUUAUUAUUAUUUACAGAAGGGAAGGGGGGACGCUAACGCAUUUUCCUUCAAAAAUCCUGCCAUGUUCCAAAAAAUUGAUUGUAUACAGGAAGGAUUAAAAUUUCAGGAUUCAAAAGUUUUUACCAAAUGGCGGCUUCAGGCUCUUCCACCCCGGGCUAAGCAGAAAUUGUUACUACCCACUACAGGCAAUAAUACAUCAAACAUUACCAACUUCAUAAGAUGUGAGUCAAGAUGUUAUUCUAAUAAAUAAAACUAAAGCGACAAAAACAAAGAGGAAAACUUCAGUGAAACGAUUACCAGCGGAACCCUAUUCACACUCUUCUCUAUUCACAUUUUCGGUAAACAUAUAAUUAUAUCAAAUUAGAUUAUAUAAUUCUUGUUAAGCUACUAAGCUUCAACUUUAGUGAUAAAUACCGCGUCUGAGACUCCUUCUCUUCAAACAAUUGCCUGCCGGAACCAGCGCGAGGACCAAAUUCGAAACCUAUCAACAUUUAAUUUACAAUUAGCUAAAUUCUUAAUGCUUAAAGAUUUAGUUUCCUUUUCUAGUAGCGCUAAUCCACCUAAAAUGUAAAGAAUUUAAGGAAGCAAUAGGCAUGAUAAUCUAUCUGAUCAUAAUUAACUACCGUUUGGUACCUGAAAUAUCAAAGGAAAAUUUUUCAAUUUACUUCUUGUUCUUGUAAUCUCAGUUUUUCAACUCCCAAAGAACUAAAUGCACACACAUGAAUAUAGAAUGCAUACAAAUACAAGGACGGAGCUACCAUGGGCCUAGGGGGGCGGAUGCCCCCAUUGAGAUUUUUCUGACGCUGGGAUGCUGCUCAAAUUGAGCUGGGUUUGCAGCAGCAAAGCCCCCACUGAACUCAUCUGGUUCUGCUCUCCGACCUGGUUCUGCAAGAAGCAGAGCUGGGUCUUAUAUUUUUUUUUUUUUAAAUCCAGGCCAAAACGACGUCGUUUUGGUCCUGGUACAAAAAAAAAAUAAAUGAAACAGCGUCGUUUCGUAUAUGUUAACAAAAAAGAAAGUAUGUUAAAGGUGGACUGUGGGGACAAGCGGUCCCCCCUUUAAUCUCUAACCCCAUUCCCUGAUUCCUUCCCAUCUCUCUGUUCCUUUUUAUUUCCCUUGCCAAACAGAGAGCAGCGUGGUGCUACUCUCUUUCCCCAAAUUCCCAACAUCUUGAAACUGAACAGAACAGGAGCAAGGUGUUGUUCCCAGCCACGCCAACAGUUAGCCACUCCAGCCAGCUACUCUCUAGCCGACAUAUAUAUAUUUAUGGUAAAAUUCUUAAUUCCUAAAUCUAUAAUCCCUAACCCUAAUUAAUUAUUUAAGACGUUGGGAAAGGCAAAAAUCAAGAAACUACUUUGAAACGUGCUGGAGAAACACGUUGGGGUUCACACUUUGGUACUUUAGUAAGUAUCAUGACUAUGUUUUCAUCCAUACUUGAUGUACUUGAAGUAAUAGCAGAUGAUGGAGUAAGCUCUCAACAAAGAUGUGAAGCAAAUAAUUUAUUGGAUUCCAUGCAAUCAUUUAAUUUUGUGUUUAAUCUACACUUGAUGAAAGAUAUACUAGGAAUAACCAAUGAAUUGUCACAAGCAUUGCAAAGGAAGGAUCAGGAUAUUGUAAAUGCAAUGAAGUUGGUUGGAGUUUGUAAGCAAAGGUUGGAGAUAAUGAGGAAAAGUGGUUGGGAUUCUUUACUUAGUGAAGUCUCAGAAUUUUGUCUUAAACAUGAUAUUGAUGUGCCUAAUAUGGAUGAUAUGUUUCUUUCUCGAAGGCGAGGGCAACGAAAAGCACAAGCAGUCAUAAAUAUGCAUCAUUAUUGUGUUGGGAUAUUUUAUGUUGUUUUGGAUUGGCAGCUUCAAGAACUAAAUAAUCGUUUCAAUGAGACCAACACUGAGUUACUUCUUUGUUUGGCAUGUUUAUGUCCAGCCGACUCCUUCUCUGCUUUUGAUAGCCAAAAGCUAUUGCGUCUUGCCCAGUUUUAUCCUAAAGACUUCUCUAUGAAUGAGCUGGUGAUACUUAAGAUUCAACUUGAGACUUACAUUAUGGAUAUGCGGUCUAGCAUUGAGUUUUCAAGUUUAAAAGAGAUUGGAGAUCUUGCAAAAAACAUGGUUCAAUGCAAAAAACACAAGGUGUAUUCGCUGGUUUACUUGUUUGUGACAUUAGCACUAACUCUUCCAGUUGCUACUGCAACCGUUGAAAAAGCAUUUUCGGCCAUGAAAAUUCUGAAGAAUCGAUUGAGAAAUCGAAUGGGAGAUCAAUGGAUGAAUGAUAACAUGGUUAUUUUUAUAGAGAGAGAGAGAUAUUUAAUGGUAUUGGUAAUGAUGUUGUCAUGCAACGCUUUCAGAACAUGAAAACACGUCGAGGGAUAUUGUAAGGGACUGUUGUAUGAAAAACUUUUUGGAUUAAUAUAUAAGUAUUGUGUUUAGUAAAUUCUUGAGCUUUUUAAUUAUGACUUUGUUGUUUGAGGAUGACCCCAUUCACACACAGCAGUUCUGGCUUCGUCCCUGUACAAAUAUGUAUGUAUGUGUGUGUGUGUGUGUGUGUGUGUGUGUGUGUGUGUAUGACAGAUGAGGAGACGGGGACCUGGAGGGUAGGAACUGUGAAGGCCGCCUCUAGCGGUGGCAGGACGAAGAAAAGAGGAGAAGCCUGAGAGAGAGAGGAACAGGAUGGAAAGAGCAAGCUUCAUGAUGUGAUCUUUGGAUUGACGAUGGUGGCGAUGGAGCUCCAGAAUCGAAUUCAGGAAGCCAUUGUUGGAACUUGGAAGGAGUAAAAGAAGAUGAAAACGUAACGACGAAGAUUGGAGAUGCUGGAUCUCGGGGGGAAAAUGGGCUGCAAAUUCCAUUGGAAGCGAAGUAACGGGGACUUCGAGAUAUGGGUUGCAUAUGAAUCUCGGCCCAUUUUUCAAACCGCCCGAACCAAACUAAAUUCUAUAGGUUGAUUUUUUUUUUUUAAUAAACAACAAUAUUUUACAUUAUAGGGCUUCAAUUGGCAUAACAAGAUUUAAAGUUUCUAAUUUUUUUUUCAUUGCUCAUUUUUUGUUUUUCUUGUUCAUUGACUACUGUUUUUGUUUGCAAAACCCAUUUUUCGGUAAAUGAAUAUGACUCAACAACUUAAACUGAGUUAAUGGGGACUGUAAGAUCAAAUCAAAUUGUCAAAUAUGUGUUGACACUAAGUCAUAUAUUUGACCGCAGUGAGUUCAUGUAGUUACGAAUAAAAAUUGUAUCUUGUAAUUGAUAAACCUAAUAAUUCUACAGGUUAUCCACGUCAGCAAUCCUUGUCAACUCAGCAACCACAGUCCGCAAUAUAUGGUUCUCACUCAACCACUCCAACACAGAGUUUGGAUAACACACAAUGUCCUCAACAGAUUGAGAAGGAUCAUAGUCCUCCUUAAACAUGACUCUAUCAUCAUAGUGUACCUUAGCUUUCUGUUAUGUAUUUUUGUAAUUUGAAUUCGAUUGUAAUUCUGAUACCAGAUUCAUUGUAAUCUUGUAAAGCCUAUAUAAUGAAGUACAUGACUCACUCAUAAUUAAUUGAGUUGAGCUUAUGCAAUUGAUUAUUUCAACCCUAGCUUGAAUUCUUUCAUGGUAUCUCAGAGCUAAAGUCUCACCACAAAAACAAAUUUUUUUUUUUUCAUGGCGUCCUCUUCUUCUCCCUUACCUAAUGCCUCCAAUUUUCUCACCCUUAAACUUGAUCGUACCAACUACCCUCUCUGGCAAGUUCAGAUGCUUCCUCUUCUCCGCAGUCGCAAUCUUGUCUCUUUUGUCGAUGGCACCAGUCAAUGCCCCCAGCAUUUCUGCAAGAUGCAGAUGGCAACAUCACUGACAAAGUCAAUCCUGACUUCGAAACCUGGAUUCAACAGGAUGCUACAUUUCUGUCCUGGAUUAAUUCUUUUGUUCACCCCACUGUCCUUGCUGCUUUAAUUGGGAAAACCAGUUCUCACUCUGCUUAGACAACCUUCCGUGACCGCUAUGCCUCUCAGUCAACCGGCCGUCUUCUUCAGCUUCACAGUGAGUUGAUGAAUACUCACAGAGGUGAUUCCUCCAUUUCUGAAUUUUUAGAUAAAAUCAAUUGUCUAGCAGAGACUCUCUCUCUCUGGUGCUCCUGUUUCAGACUCCGACAUUGUCGCCAUCAUCCUUAACAAUGUUGGUCCUGUUUAUGAGAGCAUGGUUGCCUCCGCUCAAGCUCGUGACGAGGCCAUCACCUACAGUGCUUUGGAAGCACUCCUCAUUGGCGCUGAAAGAAGACAGAAAUUGCGUUUUGCUUUUACUACUGACACCGACCCAACUGCCUUUGCUGCAGUUCACAAUGGUGGUCGUUCAUCUCCCAGUUUUUGCGGUCGUGGCUCAUCUUCUACAUUCCGAGGUCGCAACAGUCCCACUGGUGGUCGUUGGUCCUCUUCUCGGCCAUGCAACUCCCCAGGUUCUCAUCAUGGAUCUCACCAACAUUCUCACUCUCGCCAACCUGAUGGUCUUCUUGGUCAAUCUCCAAGUUCUUUUCCUACUGGUCGGAUCCAAUGCCAAAUUUGUAACAUACAUGGUCAUUCGGCAAUCGGCUAUUUCAACCGUCUCAACCUGUCUUAUGAAGGGCGUGUUCCAGCGCCAAAACUUCAAGCCUAUACUGCUGGUGUUCCCCCUGCCUCUGCUAGUGCUCCAGCUCUCCAGAAUUGGCUUUUCGACUCUGGUGCCAAUGCCCACAUCACCAAUAAUCCAGCUCAGGUGUUUAAUCCUUGUCCUUACCAUGGUACUGACCAAGUCAAUGGUGUAGUAGGUGGAACAGGUUUGCACAUCUCUCAUAUUGGAAACUCUUGCAUUCGCACACCCAAAGCCAUUUUUAAAUUACCCAACACACUAUUUUGCCCUACUGCAUCCACCAAUGUCAUAUCCAUUCAUAAAUGUACCACUGACAACAACUGUUCCCUAACCUUAUAUCCAAAUUCCUAUGGUGUUCAGGAUCUUCACAUGGGGAAGACACUUUUCCAAGGCCCGAGUAGAGAUGAUUUCUACCCUUUUUCCAGUAUUUCAUCAUGCAAUAAAGGAGUCUCUACAUUCAUAGGUGCUAGGGUGUCCAAUCAUGUUUGGCACUCUAGAUUAGGUCAUCCAUCAACUCAUGUUUUGAAUUCUUUAAUUUUCAAGAAUAAGUUACCCGUGAAUGGUGUUGUAACUAGUGACUUUUGUCACUCCUGUCCACUCGGCAAGAGUCACAAGUUACCCUUUACUUUGUCUAGUUCUAGGUCAACUUUUCCUUUACAAUUAAUUCAUUCGGGUGUAUGGACUUCUCCCUAUGUUUCAAUCAAUGGAUUUAAGUAUUAUGUAGUAUUUAUUGAUGACUUUUCUAGAUACUCCUGGUUAUAUCCAUUAAAACUAAAAUCAGAUGUUUUUUCUACCUUUGUAAAUUUUAAAAAAUUAGUUGAAAACAUGUUUAGCACCACAAUCAAAUCCUUUCAAACCGAUGGUGGCAGUGAAUAUAUUAAUAAUAAUUUCAAAACUUUUUUUACUUAUCAUGGUAUAUAUCAUCGUUUCACAUGUCCUCAUCAUCCCAAACAAAAUGGUAUUUUCAGAAUGUAAACAUCGUCAUAUUGUUGAAACCGAUCUUACUCUUCUUGCUCACGCAUCUUUACCCACUUCCUUUUGGGAUGAUGCUUUUCAUACUGCAACUUAUUUAAUCAAUCAGUUACCCACUAAGGUCUUGAAUGAUGAGUCCCCAUUUCAAAAACUCUUUCUCAAAACUCCUCAUUAUGAUAUUCUUCUUAAAAUAUUUGGCUGUGCAUGUUUCCCAUAUCUUAAGCCAUACAACUCCAAUAAAUUACAGUUCCGUUCUACCCGUUGUGUGUCUUUCUUCUUGGUUACUCAUUAAAUCAACAAGGUUAGAGCAACUUCACCCUUGGAGCCCUUCCCCCUGGCAAUCCACUAUUGAAUCCACCAUAUUGAACAGUAACUGCCUUUAAUGAAUAGUAACUACCUUUAAUGAACAGUAAUUAUCUUUUGCAUCUCCACACUUGGAACUCUCCCCCUGACAAUAAGUAAUAAAAUAUUAGUUUUUUUUUGUUUGUUUAAAUAAUAUAAAAUAAAAAAAACAUGGAAAUGGGGCUGCAGGCCCUCGGGCUGACACAAAAAAAAAUAAAAAAAAAUGCUUAGCCCUCGGGCUGCAGGCCUGUCAAUUCCCCACCCCCCUUGUGCUCGGGCUCUCUAAGGCUGGAGGGUUGUCCACCUGGCCUCGGGCCCUUUCCUGGUGCCUGUCCCCCGAGCAAUCCACAAGGAUGGACUUGCUCUUAUAAGUGUCUAGAUAUGUCUACCGGUCCCGUCUUCUUGUCACGUCAUGUUCAUGUUGUCUUGAUGAAACUACUUUUCCCUAUAAAGAAACCACCUCUACUCCGUUUUCUUCUUCUCCCUCCUCACCUAACAUCAUAAUUAAUAUUGACCCCCCCAUGCCCACUUUUCAACCCAUGUCGCGUCUUCUUGUCACGUCAUGUUGUGAAACUAUUUUUUCCUAUAAAGAAACCACCUCUACUCCGUUUUUUCUUCUCCCUCCUCACCUAACAUCAUAAUUAAUAUUGACCCCCACCAUGCCCACUUUUCAACCCAUUUCCCCGACAUCACCUACACCUAUCUCUUCCAUCCCUAAUGCUACCCCAUGUCCUACGCCUACCCCACUUCCAUCACCUAUACCCAUUUCUGCCACCCCUAUUUCACCUCCAUCACAUCUUCCUGCCAAAACACUUCCCACUCCACCCGUCCCUUCUGCCAACCCCACGCCGUCCUCCUUCAAUCCUCCAGCUAAUAAUUCACCCUUAGAUCCCCUAGUAUCUCUCCACCCUGCGACUGCAAGUACAUCCACUACCAAAAGAAGAUUUAAAGUUUCAAAUUCUUUUUAUAAAUCUAAAACAUUGAUCUUCUAUCUUUUUACUUGUUCACUCAGUUACUGUCUGCAAUACCCGAUUACAACAACUGUUUUCUUCGAUGGCAUUGACUUUGAGCACCAAUAGAGCCUCGGCAUCUUUUCUUUUCAAUGAAUCAGCUCCUCGAUGGAAGUAUGAUGUGUUUUUGAGUUUCAGGGGUGUAGACACCCGCAAGGGUUUUGUAUCCCAUUUACACCAUGAAUUGUCCAAGUGCCAAGGAAUUACGACUUUCAUGGACGAUCGAGAGCUUCAAGGAGGAGCAAGUAUUCAUGUUGAGCUACCAAGUGCGAUCAAAGAAUCGCAUAUUGCAAUUGUUGUUCUCUCACCAAACUAUGCUUCUUCCAAAUGGUGCUUGGAUGAACUCACAACCAUUCUUCAAUGCAUGGAAGCCAGGAACUCAGUUCUGCCGGUCUUUUAUCAGACAGAUCCAUCUGACGUCGGAAAUCAACGGGGAUGUUUUGCCGAAGCCUUCGCGGAGCAUGAAGAAAAGUUGAUCAGUAUCGAAGGCAAAAAGAAGGUGCUCCAAUGGAAAGCUGAUCUAAAGCGAGUGUCCAAAAUUUGUGGUUGGACUUCGAAGGAAUCUAAGUAAGCAUGAACAACUUUAAUUUCCCAUGUCUUAGUAGAGUCAAAAUUGAAUGCUUCGUUUAUGUUUUUUCAAUGGUUAUUUUUAUUUAUACCAUGUAGGUGUGUGAAAGUGAGCUUAUACAAAAAUCGUUAAAAGUGUGUGGAGGAAAGUGCAAGCUACACUCCCGUUGUUAGAUUCCUCACAAAAAUUAGUUGGGGUUAAUUUUGGGCUUGGGCAACUAAGUUCUCUAUUAGCUCAUGAUGUCAAUGAUGUACGCUUUAUAGGGAUAACGGGGAUGGGUGGCAUAGGUAAGACAACCCUUGCUAAGCUUGUUUAUGAUAGAAUCUUUCAUCAUUUUGAAGUUCACUGCUUUCUCGGCAACCUUAGAGAGGUUUCUAAUGUUUGAUCUUCAAAAAGACUUCUUUUUCCCGGUGUUGAGGGAAAAGAUUGAAAGAAAUUUGGGAUGAAGAGCGCGAAAUCAUUUUCACUAAGAAGUGCUUGCGCAACAAAAAAGUUCUUCUUGUACUUGAUGAUGUGGAUCACAUAAACCAGCUACAAGUACUAGCUGGAAACGAAGAUUGGUUUGGCAUGGGAAGUAGAAUUAUCAUUACAACUAGAAAUGAACGUCUGCUAGUCCAGCAUGACAUAACAUUAUGUCAUAAUGUCAAAGUGUUAGAUAAAGGCGCAGCUCUUGCACUGUUUAGCCUUCAUGCCUUUUAAGAAAAAUCUGCCCGAGGAUGGGUUUUGGGAACUGUCAACGUAUUUCAUUAAUUAUGCUGGAGGCCUUCCAUUAGCUCUUGAAACUUUGGGGUCAGCAUUGUUUAAGAGAAGGCUAGACACUUGGAAUAGUGUGUGGGAUAAUCUGUCAAAAACUCCUAAUCCAGCAAUUUUUGAUAAACUUAAAAUAAGUUUAUGAUGGACUAGAAGAGAGUGGGAGAAGAGAAUUUUUCUCGACGUUGCAUGUUUCCACAAAGGGAAGUACACGAAUGAAGUAAUUAAAAUGCUAGAUAAUUCUCUUGGAAUCUCUAGUAGUAGUAUGAUAGAUGUACUAAUUGAGAGAUCUCUCAUCUAUCAAGAUCAUGAAAACUGCAUACGGAUGCAUGAUUUGAUUCAAGAAAUGGCAUGGACAGUUAUUGUUCAAGAGUCUAAGAGAGCCUGGUCAACGUAGUAGGUUGUGGCUUUACAAUGACAUUGAUCAUAUAUUCACGACGAAUACGGUAAAAAGUUAAAUACUAAGUUUGGAAGAAGAUAUGAUUUCUUUUGACACUAUAUUAUUAUAUGAAAUUAAUUCGUCAUUUUUUUUUCCUUUAACUGUUAGGGAACAGGAGCAAUUGAAGCCAUAUCCUUACGCCUGCUCAAAGUAGAAGAGGUACGCCAGUGGAAUUGCGAAGCCUUCUCAAAGAUGGAUGGACUGAGGUUUUGGAAUUCGAUAAUUUGAUAUUUUCUUCAGGCCCCAAAUUUCUUCCCAUGUUCCUUGAGAAUUAUAAAUUGGAGUUGGUAUCCUUCUAAUUUUCUUUCCAAACCAGCUUUCGCCCGCACUUGCUUGCUAAACUUGAGAUGCGUAAUAGCAAUCUUGUUCGUCUAUGGGAGGGAAAAUGGUAAGAGUAGUUAUGAACAAAAGAUAAUAUUGGUUACUCACUAGUUAAUACUCACUUUUUUGAUUUUGUCAAAUGAUAUUUUAACACAUAUUAUUUUUAAAAUAAUAGACGUGUUAUUUAAUUUUUCUGGAGUUUUAAAAUUAAGGAACGCUUGAUAUUUUUUUAUUGUACAAUUCCGAAGGUUCCAAAUUUCUUCAUAUUCAUUGAGAAUAAAUGUUAUUAUUAAUUUACAAAAUAAUCAUUUAUAUUAAUUUAUUAUUUUGAAUAAACUUUAAGGUUGUGGAAGCUAAGUAUAUGAUCUGAACCUUGUCGGGUGAUGUUGUGCAGGACUUACCCAACUUAAAACAUAUUGAUAUUAGCAACUCCUAUAAAUUGAAGAGUAUCUCAGAUUUCAGUGGUAUUCCAAAUCUUGAGAGGUUGAUCCUUUGGGAUUGUAAAAAUUUAGUUGAGAUACACCCGUCUAUUUGCAAUCCUCAAAAGACUUAAACAUUUGCUUCUUAAUGGCUGUUUUGAAAGCAUUAAUAGCCUCCCAAGUGAGGUUGAAAUGGAUUCUCUUGAGACUUUCGAUCUUGAUGGCUGCUCAAAUGUGAAAAAGAUUCCAGAAUUUGGGGAGCAGAUGAAGAAUGUAUGGCGGAUUCACUUAGAUGGGACUGCGAUCGAGAAAAUACCUUCAUCAAUUGGACAUCUGGUUGGCCUCAAGGAAAUUGCAAAAAUCUCUUGAACCUUCCAAGGGGCGAUUUGUAAUUUGAAGUCUCUUGGAUAUCUCAGUGCGAGUGGAUGCUCAAAGAUUGACCAACUCCCAGGAGACAUGGAUCACUUAGAGGCGCUUUGCUGGGACCCACUAUGACAGAGCCGCUUGUGAGCAUGAAAAAUCUCAAACGUCUAGUAUUUAAGACAAAUUCUAACAUAGCCGCUUGUGGAUCAGAUGGUAAAGCAAGGGAUGGGUGGGGCCUUCGCUGCUUAUUUGGACUUGAAAAGAGUCGCCCUGAUCCUUCUCCUUGUUGGCGUUUGGUGUUGUCUUCUCUAAAUCGUUUAUGCUCUUUGACAGAGUUAUCUCUAGAGAAUUGUAAUCUCCAGGGAGGGGAUAUCCCCGAUGAAUAUGGCUGCUUGUCCUUACUGGAGUAUUGUAUCUUAGUAGAAAAUAAUUUCGUCAGUCUACCUGAAAGCUUUAGACGCCUUUCUAAACUUUUCAGUCUUGAUCUAGAGGGGUGUAUAAGCCUUCAAAAAUUGCCUCCUCUUCCAUCAAACAGAGGACUAAGAGUAAAUCUGGACAAUUGCACUUCCUUACAAAGGUUGUCAGGUCCAUCCAGUUUUUUAUGGUGAUUAUGUCACUUGCCGGAAUUGCAUUGCAUUGGUUCAAGAUGACGACUGAUUCAAUUAGGAUUCUAAUAUUUNNNNNNNNNNNNNNNNNNNNNNNNNNNNNNNNNNNNNNNNNNNNNNNNNNNNNNNNNNNNNNNNNNNNNNNNNNNNNNNNNNNNNNNNNNNNNNNNNNNNNNNNNNNNNNNNNNNNNNNNNNNNNNNNNNNNNNNNNNNNNNNNNNNNNNNNNNNNNNNNNNNNNNNNNNNNNNNNNNNNNNNNNNNNNNNNNNNNNNNNNNNNNNNNNNNNNNNNNNNNNNNNNNNNNNNNNNNNNNNNNNNNNNNNNNNNNNNNNNNNNNNNNNNNNNNNNNNNNNNNNNNNNNNNNNNNNNNNNNNNNNNNNNNNNNNNNNNNNNNNNNNNNNNNNNNNNNNNNNNNNNNNNNNNNNNNNNNNNNNNNNNNNNNNNNNNNNNNNNNNNNNNNNNNNNNNNNNNNNNNNNNNNNNNNNNNNNNNNNNNNNNNNNNNNNNNNNNNNNNNNNNNNNNNNNNNNNNNNNNNNNNNNNNNNNNNNNNNNNNNNNNNNNNNNNNNNNNNNNNNAGCACCUGUCACAUGCACACUCAGCUUUGCUGAAUUACGGGCAUUCUGUUGAAGAUUUCUGGUGAAGUGAAAAGCAAGUGAAUCUUACUGUUCAAUCAUCCACUUUUCACACGCACCAUCAGCUCAUGGGUACCACAGAUAACUUUGCCAAAGAUCUCUGACAAAGUUUAUACACGUGAAGCUUGCAGCUCCCACUACAUCGCUAUGACCAAGAAGGGUAAAAGAAUAGCAAAGAAACAACACUAACAAAGUUUAGACACAUAAAUUUUGAAGGUCUAGCUAUCAUAUUAUUACCCACAAGGGUAAAGGAACAGCACCACUGCUGGAUAAUUGGAAAGUCCUUGUGUGUCAACCUCUGUGCUCCGUGGCAAGGUAGAAUAGCAAACAUGCCCUACCUUUACUCACAUUCGAGAAAAACACUCCCAACAAGAUUGCUUGCUCCAAAAUCGAAGAAGGCACCGUCCUCCGACUCUCGAGAGCCAGACUCUCAUCACAUGAUUACUUUCUCAAAAAUCGAAGAGAAGACACCUACUCUCUCAUCGAAAUCUCGAGAGCCAGACUCCCAGCAUGAUUGCUCUCUCAAUCAAAAAUCGAAGAGGCAUCGUUCUUCUCCGAAUCUCGAGAGCCAGAUCCCCGACAGGAUUGCUUGUUCGAAAACCGAAGAGGCACCGCUUUCUCAACUUCGAGAGCCAGAUCUCCUUGGAUAAAGCUUGUCUGUAAUCUUCACGCAACAUCAGCUUUUCAGAUACCACAGACCACUUUUUCAAAGUGCUCUGACACACGUGAAGCUGGCAGCUCCCACUACCGUGCUAUGACUAAGCAGGGUAAAGGAAUAGCAUUACUACUUGUUGUUAGGGAGACUCCUAUAUAUGUCGACCUUCAUCCUCAACGGACAGGCAAACCUGCAAAAAUGCUCGACCCUUCCUCAUAUCUGAGAGGGCACUCCCGACGAAGCCUCUCAAAAUACUCAGCUUUCUUUCCCCCCGAUAAUACCUCUGCAACAAGCUACACCAGAGCAAGAAUAUCUAAUAUCAUCAGGGUUAAAAGCAAGAGUAUCCCAUAUCAUGCUUUUUCCUUGUCUUUUCCUUUGGCCUUGUUCUUACCUGCAAGACAAGGAGAAAGAGAGCAAUCAGUCAGCAUUUGGAAUCAAGCUUCCAGUCAGGAACUGACUGCCUGGAACCCCUUACCUGAUUACUUACCUGGCAUUGCUCUCGAGUACUCAUCUUCAACAUCUUAUGCUUCCAGAGAAGACACCACAUCUGCCUAAGAAACCGAUAGGGAAAGUGAAAAGGAUACAAGGAAACAUGUGGAGACAAGCGUAACAGAACACGUGCCGAUACAUCCACUACUUUGUCAACAGCAAAAGUAUCCCAUAUCAGCACGGUCGAACGUACUCUAGAUUUGAUGGACUUGUUUUGACCCUCAAAUUCUUCAGUCGGCCUUAUACUUUGGAGGAAACCAGAAAACCCUCCAGCCCAGUUCAAGAAUAAGCCUAUGGAAAGUUACUUCUUCAAAAGCAAAAGUAACUCAUAUCAUCUAUUCUCCUUUUCUUCUCUUUAUCCGCUGCCUGCAAGAUAGGGAGAAUGAGAACAAUCAGCCGGAACUCGAAAUCAAACUUCUGAUCUGGGACUAAUUGCUUGGAGCUCUGAUUGCUUACCUUGUUUAUCACCUCUUUCAGCAGAUCCCCUUGCUCGGCGACUUGGGGGACUCCUACUACAUGGUUUGUAUCGCGCUUGACCAAGCCUGAAACUACAAGUAAGCUUCAAGUGAAAUUGAUACAUUACCUUGUGCAUCUCCACCAGUUAAAGAUACCACCCCUGGAUGGAGGAAGAGUACUUAGAAGUUUCGUGAUUACGAGAUCAUUCUCCCACAAUAUUUCCUAAUGUCACUUGUACUCAAUCAUUCAUUUGUACUCACUAAAGGAGAGCUUGAACCUAUGUACUUGUGUAAACCCUUCACAAUUAAUGAGAACUCAUUUACUCCGUGGACGUAGCCAAUCUGGGUGAACCACGUACAUCUUAUGUUUGCUUUCCUGUCUCUAUCCAUUUACAUACUUAUCCACACUAAUGACCAGAGCAAUAACUUAAUACUUUCUGUUGUACCAAAGUCCUCACUGAUUUUGUGCAUCAACAAUCCUUAAGUCCUUAACCUUUUGCGUUGGUAAUGGAUGAGUUAACAGGACAUAUUCAAGAUGAUAUUUCUUGGUGUAUGCUUCUCGCAAAUGAUAUAGUGUUGAUAGAUGAAACUCAGGAGGGGUAAAUGCGAAGCUUAACCUUUGGAGAGAAGUGUUGGAAUCUAAAGGUCUUCGCCUAAGCCGAUCAAAGACAGAAUAUAUGGAGUGCAAGUUCAGUGCAAAUGGAGGCCAAAAUGAGUUAGAGGCGAGGAUCGGAGAUCAGGUAAUACCAAAGAGCGACCGUUUUCGCUACCUAGGAUCUAUCUUGCAAAAGAACGGAGAAUUAGAUGAAGAUCUCAACCAUAGAAUACAAGCUGGAUGGAUGAAGUGGAAUAGUGCAUCCGGCAUGUUGUGUGACCAUCGUAGGCCACUGAAGCUUAAGAGAAAAUUUUAUAGAACGGCAAUAAGGCCGGCGAUGCUGUAUGGCACAGAAUGUUGGGCGGUGAAGCAUCAACACGUACACAAAAUGGGUUGGACAUGUGCAAAGAAGGCCUACUGACGCUCCGGUUCGAAGAUGUGACUACGGGAUAGAGGUUCAGGGCCGAAGGGGUAGAGGAAGACCUAGGAAAACUUUGGAAGAGACCCUAAGAAAAGACUUAGAGUACUUGGAUCUAACGGAGGACAUGACACAAAACCGAGCGCAAUGGCAUUCUAGGAUUCAUAUAGCCGACCCCACUUAGUGAGAAAAGGCUUUGUUGUUGUUGUUGUUGUUGUACUUAUACAUUAUAAUCUUUGUCAUGUUACAGCUUCUCAGUUUCAUUAUAAGUUUCUUGUGGUCUCGUAGCAGUUUCCUUUAUUCUUUCCAUACAAGAUCAGAGAAAAAGUAACAAAAAAUUGUGACUAAAACUGCCCUCAAAACACAUACAAUUGAUAGAGUCUGUCCUUUCUCAGGGACAAGUAACAUAAUUGAACUAGCGGAAUGAAUAAAACUUUUCUAAAGAGUGCAGAUGGAUAUUCUCCAACACCAGAAUCAACUCAAUUCGGUGGUAAACAGGUAUUGCACCCUUCUGGAUUCAAAGGUGCAAUAAGCUAGAAGCUACAUCGCACUUUUUUAACUUCCACUAAUAAGAAAUCAAUGUAAUUAAGUUUCUGACCCUUAUUCAGCGUUAUUGUUGCAAAAAGAUUUUCUGGUACUGGUGCCUGAAUCCUUAUUACACAGCUCUAUGGUUAAUUUCAGUUUCAAGCAGCUGCAAGGACUAAUUUGUGCUAAUCUUGAAGGAAUCAAAGCAUGUUCCUGUUCUUUUGAAUCAUAACUUUUUCUGGGUUAUGGAACAAAUAUAAUUUCCACGUUAUUAUUUUUUUCAAAAAAAAAAAUUCUACGUUAUUAUUAUUUACAGAAGGGAAGGGGGGACGCUAACGCAUUUUCCUUCAAAAAUCCUGCCAUGUUCCAAAAAAUUGAUUGUAUACAGGAAGGAUUAAAAUUUCAGGAUUCAAAAGUUUUUACCAAAUGGCGGCUUCAGGCUCUUCCACCCCGGGCUAAGCAGAAAUUGUUACUACCCACUACAGGCAAUAAUACAUCAAACAUUACCAACUUCAUAAGAUGUGAGUCAAGAUGUUAUUCUAAUAAAUAAAACUAAAGCGACAAAAACAAAGAGGAAACUUCAGUGAAACGAUUACCAGCGGAACCCUAUUCACACUCUUCUCUAUUCACAUUUUCGGUAAACAUAUAAUUAUAUCAAAUUAGAUUAUAUAAUUCUUGUUAAGCUACUAAGCUUCAACUUUAGUGAUAAAUACCGCGUCUGAGACUCCUUCUCUUCAAACAAUUGCCUGCCGGAACCAGCGCGAGGACCAAAUUCGAAACCUAUCAACAUUUAAUUUACAAUUAGCUAAAUUCUUAAUGCUUAAAGAUUUAGUUUCCUUUUCUAGUAGCGCUAAUCCACCUAAAAUGUAAAGAAUUUAAGGAAGCAAUAGGCAUGAUAAUCUAUCUGAUCAUAAUUAACUACCGUUUGGUACCUGAAAUAUCAAAGGAAAAUUUUUCAAUUUACUUCUUGUUCUUGUAAUCUCAGUUUUUCAACUCCCAAAGAACUAAAUGCACACACAUGAAUAUAGAAUGCAUACAAAUACAAGGACGGAGCUACCAUGGGCCUAGGGGGGCGGAUGCCCCCAUUGAGAUUUUUCUGACGCUGGGAUGCUGCUCAAAUUGAGCUGGGUUUGCAGCAGCAAAGCCCCCACUGAACUCAUCUGGUUCUGCUCUCCGACCUGGUUCUGCAGAAGCAGAGCUGGGUCUUAUAUUUUUUUUUUUUUAAAUCCAGGCCAAAACGACGUCGUUUUGGUCCUGGUACAAAAAAAAAUAAAUGAAACAGCGUCGUUUCGUAUAUGUUAACAAAAAAGAAAGUAUGUUAAAGGUGGACUGUGGGGACAAGCGGUCCCCCCUUUAAUCUCUAACCCCAUUCCCUGAUUCCUUCCCAUCUCUCUGUUCCUUUUUAUUUCCCUUGCCAAACAGAGAGCAGCGUGGUGCUACUCUCUUUCCCCAAAUUCCCAACAUCUUGAAACUGAACAGAACAGGAGCAAGGUGUUGUUCCCAGCCACGCCAACAGUUAGCCACUCCAGCCAGCUACUCUCUAGCCGACAUAUAUAUAUUUAUGGUAAAAUUCUUAAUUCCUAAAUCUAUAAUCCCUAACCCUAAUUAAUUAUUUAAGACGUUGGGAAAGGCAAAAAUCAAGAAACUACUUUGAAACGUGCUGGAGAAACACGUUGGGGUUCACACUUUGGUACUUUAGUAAGUAUCAUGACUAUGUUUUCAUCCAUACUUGAUGUACUUGAAGUAAUAGCAGAUGAUGGAGUAAGCUCUCAACAAAGAUGUGAAGCAAAUAAUUUAUUGGAUUCCAUGCAAUCAUUUAAUUUUGUGUUUAAUCUACACUUGAUGAAAGAUAUACUAGGAAUAACCAAUGAAUUGUCACAAGCAUUGCAAAGGAAGGAUCAGGAUAUUGUAAAUGCAAUGAAGUUGGUUGGAGUUUGUAAGCAAAGGUUGGAGAUAAUGAGGAAAAGUGGUUGGGAUUCUUUUACUUAGUGAAGUCUCAGAAUUUUGUCUUAAACAUGAUAUUGAUGUGCCUAAUAUGGAUGAUAUGUUUCUUUCUCGAAGGCGAGGGCAACGAAAAGCACAAGCAGUCAUAAAUAUGCAUCAUUAUUGUGUUGGGAUAUUUUAUGUUGUUUUGGAUUGGCAGCUUCAAGAACUAAAUAAUCGUUUCAAUGAGAGACCAACACUGAGUUACUUCUUUGUUUGGCAUGUUUAUAUGUCCAGCCGACUCCUUCUCUGCUUUUGAUAGCCAAAAGCUAUUGCGUCUUGCCCAGUUUUAUCCUAAAGACUUCUCUAUGAAUGAGCUGGUGAUACUUAAGAUUCAACUUGAGACUUACAUUAUGGAUAUGCGGUCUAGCAUUGAGUUUUCAAGUUUAAAAGAGAUUGGAGAUCUUGCAAAAAACAUGGUUCAAUGCAAAAAACACAAGGUGUAUUCGCUGGUUUACUUGUUUGUGACAUUAGCACUAACUCUUCCAGUUGCUACUGCAACCGUUGAAAAAGCAUUUUCGGCCAUGAAAAAUUCUGAAGAAUCGAUUGAGAAAUCGAAUGGGAGAUCAAUGGAUGAAUGAUAACAUGGUUAUUUUUAUAGAGAGAGAGAGAUAUUUAAUGGUAUUGGUAAUGAUGUUGUCAUGCAACGCUUUCAGAACAUGAAAACACGUCGAGGGAUAUUGUAAGGGACUGUUGUAUGAAAAACUUUUUGGAUUAAUAUAUAAGUAUUGUGUUUAGUAAAUUCUUGAGCUUUUUAAUUAUGACUUUGUUGUUUGAGGAUGACCCCAUUCACACACAGUUCUGGCUUCGUCCCUGUACAAAUAUGUAUGUAUGUGUGUGUGUGUGUGUGUGUGUGUGUGUGUGUGUGUGUAUGACAGAUGAGGAGACGGGGACCUGGAGGGUAGGAACUGUGAAGGCCGCCUCUAGCGGUGGCAGGACGAAGAAAAGAGGAGAAGCCUGAGAGAGAGGAACAGGAUGGAAAGAGCAAGCUUCAUGAUGUGAUCUUUGGAUUGACGAUGGUGGCGAUGGAGCUCCAGAAUCGAAUUCAGGAAGCCAUUGUUGGAACUUGGAAGGAGUAAAAGAAGAUGAAAACGUAACGACGAAGAUUGGAGAUGCUGGAUCUCGGGGGAAAAUGGGCUGCAAAUUCCAUUGGAAGCGAAGUAACGGGGACUUCGAGAUAUGGGUUGCAUAUGAAUCUCGGCCCAUUUUUCAAACCGCCCGAACCAAACUAAAUUCUAUAGGUUGAUUUUUUUUUUUUAAUAAACAACAAUAUUUUACAUUAUAGGGCUUCAAUUGGCAUAACAAGAUUUAAAGUUUCUAAUUUUUUUUUCAUUGCUCAUUUUUUGUUUUUCUUGUUCAUUGACUACUGUUUUUGUUUGCAAAACCCAUUUUUCGGUAAAUGAAUAUGACUCAACAACUUAAACUGAGUUAAUGGGGACUGUAAGAUCAAAUCAAAUUGUCAAAUAUGUGUUGACACUAAGUCAUAUAUUUGACCGCAGUGAGUUCAUGUAGUUACGAAUAAAAAUUGUAUCUUGUAAUUGAUAAACCUAAUAAUUCUACAGGUUAUCCACGUCAGCAAUCCUUGUCAACUCAGCAACCACAGUCCGCAAUAUAUGGUUCUCACUCAACCACUCCAACACAGAGUUUGGAUAACACACAAUGUCCUCAACAGAUUGAGAAGGAUCAUAGUCCUCCUUAAACAUGACUCUAUCAUCAUAGUGUACCUUAGCUUUCUGUUAUGUAUUUUUGUAAUUUGAAUUCGAUUGUAAUUCUGAUACCAGAUUCAUUGUAAUCUUGUAAAGCCUAUAUAAUGAAGUACAUGACUCACUCAUAAUUAAUUGAGUUGAGCUUAUGCAAUUGAUUAUUUCAACCCUAGCUUGAAUUCUUUCAUGGUAUCUCAGAGCUAAAGUCUCACCACAAAACAAAUUUUUUUUUUUUCAUGGCGUCCUCUUCUUCUCCCUUACCUAAUGCCUCCAAUUUUCUCACCCUUAAACUUGAUCGUACCAACUACCCUCUCUGGCAAGUUCAGAUGCUUCCUCUUCUCCGCAGUCGCAAUCUUGUCUCUUUUGUCGAUGGCACCAGUCAAUGCCCCCCAGCAUUUCUGCAAGAUGCAGAUGGCAACAUCACUGACAAAGUCAAUCCUGACUUCGAAACCUGGAUUCAACAGGAUGCUACAUUUCUGUCCUGGAUUAAUUCUUUUGUUCACCCCACUGUCCUUGCUGCUUUAAUUGGGAAAACCAGUUCUCACUCUGCUUAGACAACCUUCCGUGACCGCUAUGCCUCUCAGUCAACCGGCCGUCUUCUUCAGCUUCACAGUGAGUUGAUGAAUACUCACAGAGGUGAUUCCUCCAUUUCUGAAUUUUUAGAUAAAAUCAAUUGUCUAGCAGAGACUCUCUCUCUCUGGUGCUCCUGUUUCAGACUCCGACAUUGUCGCCAUCAUCCUUAACAAUGUUGGUCCUGUUUAUGAGAGCAUGGUUGCCUCCGCUCAAGCUCGUGACGAGGCCAUCACCUACAGUGCUUUGGAAGCACUCCUCAUUGGCGCUGAAAGAAGACAGAAAUUGCGUUUUGCUUUUACUACUGACACCGACCCAACUGCCUUUGCUGCAGUUCACAAUGGUGGUCGUUCAUCUCUCCCAGUUUUUGCGGUCGUGGCUCAUCUUCUACAUUCCGAGGUCGCAACAGUCCCACUGGUGGUCGUUGGUCCUCUUCUCGGCCAUGCAACUCCCCAGGUUCUCAUCAUGGAUCUCACCAACAUUCUCACUCUCGCCAACCUGAUGGUCUUCUUGGUCAAUCUCCAAGUUCUUUUCCUACUGGUCGGAUCCAAUGCCAAAUUUGUAACAUACAUGGUCAUUCGGCAAUCGGCUAUUUCAACCGUCUCAACCUGUCUUAUGAAGGGCGUGUUCCAGCGCCAAAACUUCAAGCCUAUACUGCUGGUGUUCCCCCUGCCUCUGCUAGUGCUCCAGCUCUCCAGAAUUGGCUUUUCGACUCUGGUGCCAAUGCCCACAUCACCAAUAAUCCAGCUCAGGUGUUUAAUCCUUGUCCUUACCAUGGUACUGACCAAGUCAAUGGUGUAGUAGGUGGAACAGGUUUGCACAUCUCUCAUAUUGGAAACUCUUGCAUUCGCACACCCAAAGCCAUUUUUAAAUUACCCAACACACUAUUUUGCCCUACUGCAUCCACCAAUGUCAUAUCCAUUCAUAAAUGUACCACUGACAACAACUGUUCCCUAACCUUAUAUCCAAAUUCCUAUGGUGUUCAGGAUCUUCACAUGGGGAAGACACUUUUCCAAGGCCCGAGUAGAGAUGAUUUCUACCCUUUUUCCAGUAUUUCAUCAUGCAAUAAAGGAGUCUCUACAUUCAUAGGUGCUAGGGUGUCCAAUCAUGUUUGGCACUCUAGAUUAGGUCAUCCAUCAACUCAUGUUUUGAAUUCUUUAAUUUUCAAGAAUAAGUUACCCGUGAAUGGUGUUGUAACUAGUGACUUUUGUCACUCCUGUCCACUCGGCAAGAGUCACAAGUUACCCUUUACUUUGUCUAGUUCUAGGUCAACUUUUCCUUUACAAUUAAUUCAUUCGGGUGUAUGGACUUCUCCCUAUGUUUCAAUCAAUGGAUUUAAGUAUUAUGUAGUAUUUAUUGAUGACUUUUCUAGAUACUCCUGGUUAUAUCCAUUAAAACUAAAAUCAGAUGUUUUUUCUACCUUUGUAAAUUUUAAAAAAUUAGUUGAAAACAUGUUUAGCACCACAAUCAAAUCCUUUCAAACCGAUGGUGGCAGUGAAUAUAUUAAUAAUAAUUUCAAAACUUUUUUUACUUAUCAUGGUAUAUAUCAUCGUUUCACAUGUCCUCAUCAUCCCAAACAAAAUGGUAUUUCAGAAUGUAAACAUCGUCAUAUUGUUGAAACCGAUCUUACUCUUCUUGCUCACGCAUCUUUACCCACUUCCUUUUGGGAUGAUGCUUUUCAUACUGCAACUUAUUUAAUCAAUCAGUUACCCACUAAGGUCUUGAAUGAUGAGUCCCCAUUUCAAAAACUCUUUCUCAAAACUCCUCAUUAUGAUAUUCUUAAAAUAUUUGGCUGUGCAUGUUUCCCAUAUCUUAAGCCAUACAACUCCAAUAAAUUACAGUUCCGUUCUACCCGUUGUGUCUUUCUUGGUUACUCAUUAAAUCAACAAGGUUAGAGCAACUUCACCCUUGGAGCCCUUCCCCCUGGCAAUCCACUAUUGAAUCCACCAUAUUGAACAGUAACUGCCUUUAAUGAAUAGUAACUACCUUUAAUGAACAGUAAUUAUCUUUUGCAUCUCCACACUUGGAACUCUCCCCCUGACAAUAAGUAAUAAAAUAUUAGUUUUUUUUGUUUGUUUAAAUAAUAUAAAAUAAAAAAACAUGGAAAUGGGGCUGCAGGCCCUCGGGCUGACACAAAAAAAAUAAAAAAAAUGCUUAGCCCUCGGGCUGCAGGCCUGUCAAUUCCCCACCCCCCUUGUGCUCGGGCUCUCUAAGGCUGGAGGGUUGUCCACCUGGCCUCGGGCCCUUUCCUGGUGCCUGUCCCCCGAGCAAUCCACAAGGAUGGACUUGCUCUUAUAAGUGUCUAGAUAUGUCUACCGGUCCCGUCUUCUUGUCACGUCAUGUUGUCUUUGAUGAAACUACUUUUCCCUAUAAAGAAACCACCUCUACUCCGUUUUCUUCUUCUCCCUCCUUACCUAACAUCAUAAUUAAUAUUGACCCCCCCCAUGCCCACUUUUCAACCCAUGUCGCGUCUUCUUGUCACGUCAUGUUGUGAAACUAUUUUUUCCUAUAAAGAAACCACCUCUACUCCGUUUUCUUCUUCUCCCUCCUCACCUAACAUCAUAAUUAUUAUUGACCCCCACCAUGCCCACUUUUCAACCCAUUUCCCCGACAUCACCUACACCUAUCUCUUCCAUCCCUAAUGCUACCCCAUGUCCUACGCCUACACCACUUCCAUCACCUAUACCCAUUUCUGCCACCCCUAUUUCACCUCCAUCACAUCUUCCUGCCAAAACACUUCCCACUCCACCCGUCCCUUCUGCCAACCCCACGCCGUCCUCCUUCAAUCCUCCAGCUAAUAAUUCACCCUUAGAUCCCCUAGUAUCUCUCCACCCUGCGACUGCAAGUACAUCCACUACCAAAAGAAGAUUUAAAGUUUCAAAUUCUUUUUAUAAAUCUAAAACAUUGAUCUUCUAUCUUUUUACUUGUUCACUCAGUUACUGUCUGCAAUACCCGAUUACAACAACUGUUUUCUUCGAUGGCAUUGACUUUGAGCACCAAUAGAGCCUCGGCAUCUUUUCUUUUCAAUGAAUCAGCUCCUCGAUGGAAGUAUGAUGUGUUUUUGAGUUUCAGGGGUGUAGACACCCGCAAGGGUUUUGUAUCCCAUUUACACCAUGAAUUGUCCAAGUGCCAAGGAAUUACGACUUUCAUGGACGAUCGAGAGCUUCAAGGAGGAGCAAGUAUUCAUGUUGAGCUACCAAGUGCGAUCAAAGAAUCGCAUAUUGCAAUUGUUGUUCUCUCACCAAACUAUGCUUCUUCCAAAUGGUGCUUGGAUGAACUCACAACCAUUCUUCAAUGCAUGGAAGCCAGGAACUCAGUUCUCUGCCGGUCUUUUAUCAGACAGAUCCAUCUGACGUCGGAAAUCAACGGGGAUGUUUUGCCGAAGCCUUCGCGGAGCAUGAAGAAAAGUUGAUCAGUAUCGAAGGCAAAAAGAAGGUGCUCCAAUGGAAAGCUGAUCUAAAGCGAGUGUCCAAAAUUUGUGGUUGGACUUCGAAGGAAUCUAAGUAAGCAUGAACAACUUUAAUUUCCCAUGUCUUAGUAGAGUCAAAAUUGAAUGCUUCGUUUAUGUUUUUUCAAUGGUUAUUUUAUACCAUGUAGGUGUGAAAGUGAGCUUAUACAAAAAAUCGUUAAAAGUGUGUGGAGGAAAGUGCAAGCUACACUCCCGUUGUUAGAUUCCUCACAAAAAUUAGUUGGGGUUAAUUUUGGGCUUGGGCAACUAAGUUCUCUAUUAGCUCAUGAUGUCAAUGAUGUACGCUUUAUAGGGAUAACGGGGAUGGGUGGCAUAGGUAAGACAACCCUUGCUAAGCUUGUUUAUGAUAGAAUCUUUCAUCAUUUUGAAGUUCACUGCUUUCUCGGCAACCUUAGAGAGGUUUCUAAUGUUGAUCUUCAAAAAAGACUUCUUUUCCCGGUGUUGAGGGAAAAGAUUGAAGAAAUUUGGGAUGAAGAGCGCGAAAUCAUUUUCACUAAGAAGUGCUUGCGCAACAAAAAAGUUCUUCUUGUACUUGAUGAUGUGGAUCACAUAAACCAGCUACAAGUACUAGCUGGAAACGAAGAUUGGUUUGGCAUGGGAAGUAGAAUUAUCAUUACAACUAGAAAUGAACGUCUGCUAGUCCAGCAUGACAUAACAUUAUGUCAUAAUGUCAAAGUGUUAGAUAAAGGCGCAGCUCUUGCACUGUUUAGCCUUCAUGCCUUUAAGAAAAAUCUGCCCGAGGAUGGGUUUUGGGAACUGUCAACGUAUUUCAUUAAUUAUGCUGGAGGCCUUCCAUUAGCUCUUGAAACUUUGGGGUCAGCAUUGUUUAAGAGAAGGCUAGACACUUGGAAUAGUGUGUGGGAUAAUCUGUCAAAAACUCCUAAUCCAGCAAUUUUUGAUAAACUUAAAAUAAGUUAUGAUGGACUAGAAGAGUGGGAGAAGAGAAUUUUUCUCGACGUUGCAUGUUUCCACAAAGGGAAGUACACGAAUGAAGUAAUUAAAAUGCUAGAUAAUUCUCUUGGAAUCUCUAGUAGUAGUAUGAUAGAUGUACUAAUUGAGAGAUCUCUCAUCUAUCAAGAUCAUGAAAACUGCAUACGGAUGCAUGAUUUGAUUCAAGAAAUGGCAUGGACAGUUAUUGUUCAAGAGUCUAAAGAGCCUGGUCAACGUAGUAGGUUGUGGCUUUACAAUGACAUUGAUCAUAUAUUCACGACGAAUACGGUAAAAAGUUAAACUAAGUUUGGAAGAAGAUAUGAUUUCUUUUGACACUAUAUUAUUAUAUGAAAUUAAUUCGUCAUUUUUUCCUUUAACUGUUAGGGAACAGGAGCAAUUGAAGCCAUAUCCUUACGCCUGCUCAAAGUAGAAGAGGUACGCCAGUGGAAUUGCGAAGCCUUCUCAAAGAUGGAUGGACUGAGGUUUUUGGAAUUCGAUAAUUUGAUAUUUUCUUCAGGCCCCAAAUUUCUUCCAUGUUCCUUGAGAAUUAUAAAUUGGAGUUGGUAUCCUUCUAAUUUUCUUCCAACCAGCUUUCGCCCGCACUUGCUUGCUAAACUUGAGAUGCGUAAUAGCAAUCUUGUUCGUCUAUGGGAGGGAAAAUGGUAAGAGUAGUUAUGAACAAAAGAUAAUAUUGGUUACUCACUAGUUAAUACUCACUUUUUGAUUUUGUCAAAUGAUAUUUUAACACAUAUUAUUUUAAAAAAUAAUAGACGUGUUAUUUAAUUUUCUGGAGUUUUAAAAUUAAGGAACGCUUGAUAUUUUUUUAUUGUACAAUUCCGAAGGUUCCAAAUUUCUUCCAUAUUCAUUGAGAAUAAAUGUUAUUUAAUUUACAAAAUAAUCAUAUAUUUAUUUAUUAUUUUGAAUAAACUUUAAGGUUGUGGAAGCUAAGUAUAUGAUCUGAACCUUGUCGGUGAUGUUGUGCAGGACUUACCCAACUUAAAACAUAUUGAUAUUAGCAACUCCUAUAAAUUGAAGAGUAUCUCAGAUUUCAGUGGUAUUCCAAAUCUUGAGAGGUUGAUCCUUUGGGAUUGUAAAAAUUUAGUUGAGAUACACCCGUCUAUUGCAAUCCUCAAAAGACUUAAACAUUUGCUUCUUAAUGGCUGUGAAAGCAUUAAUAGCCUCCCAAGUGAGGUUGAAAUGGAUUCUCUUGAGACUUUCGAUCUUGAUGGCUGCUCAAAUGUGAAAAAGAUUCCAGAAUUUGGGGAGCAGAUGAAGAAUGUAUGGCGGAUUCACUUAGAUGGGACUGCGAUCGAGAAAAUACCUUCAUCAAUUGGACAUCUGGUUGGCCUCAAGGAAUUGCAAAAAUCUCUUGAACCUUCCAAGGGCGAUUUGUAAUUUGAAGUCUCUUGGAUAUCUCAGUGCGAGUGGAUGCUCAAAGAUUGACCAACUCCCAGGAGACAUGGAUCACUUAGAGGCGCUUUGCUGGGGACCCACUAUGACAGAGCCGCUUGUGAGCAUGAAAAAUCUCAAACGUCUAGUAUUUAAGACAAAUUCUAACAUAGCCGCUUGUGGAUCAGAUGGUAAAGCAAGGGAUGGGUGGGGCCUUCGCUGCUUAUUUGGACUUGAAAAGAGUCGCCCUGAUCCUUCUCCUUGUUGGCGUUUGGUGUUGUCUUCUCUAAAUCGUUUAUGCUCUUUGACAGAGUUAUCUCUAGAGAAUUGUAAUCUCCAGGAGGGGGAUAUCCCCGAUGAUAUUGGCUGCUUGUCCUUACUGGGAGUAUUGUAUCUUAGUAGAAAUAAUUUCGUCAGUCUACCUGAAAGCUUUAGACGCCUUUCUAAACUUUUCAGUCUUGAUCUAGAGGGGUGUAUAAGCCUUCAAAAAUUGCCUCCUCUUCCAUCAAACAGAGGACUAAGAGUAAAUCUGGACAAUUGCACUUCCUUACAAAGGUUGUCAGGUCCAUCCAGUUUUUAUGGUGAUUAUGUCACUUGCCGGAAUUGCAUUGCAUUGGUUCAAGAUGACGACUUGAUUAAUAGGAUUCUAAUAUUUGUCAUUGAGGUACUCUCUCUCUCUCUCUCUCUCUCUCUCUCUCUCUCUAUUAAUAGGAUUCUAAUAUUUGUCAUUCAGGUACUCUCUCUCUCUAAAUAAUUGAUCUUUCUUCUGCUACAGGGAUUGAAAGUUGUAAUCCCUGGAAGUGAAAUUCCAGAGUGGUUCAGUAAUCAAAGUGUGGGACAUUCAAUAAAUGUGGAGCUUCCUCCACCAUCAUGUACCAACUGGCUUGGGAUUGCCUUAUGUGUUGUUUUUCAAGACCCUAAGCAAAACUUGGCAAAUCCAGCUGCCCUUCGUCAUUAUGAUAGAUUCGAAAUUUGGUAUUCAGAUGCACAUUUUAGCCAUAGAGUUUUGAUCAACCGCAUAGGGUCUGCUGUGUCAGAACACCUUUGGGUAUUUUAUCUGCGUCGUUAUAGAAAUCAACGUCGUGAAGAUUGUCUUCAGGAACAGUGUUUAUUCGAAACUUUUUUUUUUGAUAUCGAGGGACAACUAAAGGCAGACUUGAAUAUGGUGAAGAAGUGUGGGG